UACAGAGGGUGCAAGCGUUAAUCGGAAUUACUGGGCGUAAAGCGCACGUAGGCGGUUUUUUAAGUCAGAUGUGAAAGCCCCGGGCUCAACCUAGGAAUUGCAUUUGAAACUGGGAAACUAGAGUGUGUGAGAGGGGGGUAGAAUUCCAAGUGUAGCGGUGAAAUGCGUAGAGAUUUGGAGGAAUACCAGUGGCGAAGGCGGCCCCCUGGCACAACACUGACGCUCAGGUGCGAAAGCGUGGGGAGCAAACAGG
rnacentral:rRNA from 1 species